CCAAGCUACAUGUUUAGAUUUUAAUUUUCUGUGGUAUGAGUGAAUAAAUUUCAACAUGGAAGAAGUAUAUUAUUAUGAGAGGAGUAUGUUAUUGAUUACUGUGUUAAUUAUGAUGAUGACAAGCAAAAAGGUUUUAGCCAACGAUCAUGUUGUGAGCUUGGUUUCACAGUAGUCAGAAGAGACAGAUUAAGUAUGCUAACACUUUUAGAGCUACUGCCUCAAGUCCCCAGAAUCAAAAAAAAAUCUUGUAUUUCUGAUAGAGUAGCUUUGAUGUGUUCAAAAAUGUAGUAAUACAAAGAAUAAAUAAAAACAACACUUCAAUAAAGAAAAUGAACUUAACUGCACCAAAUCAAAAAUAAGAUGAAUCAAAUAAGAGGGAUGAUUGUUAAAACAUCUUUCUAAGGAUAACUGUAUAUAUAAAGGAAAAUCAAAAUUAGUGUCUGCAUUAGAAGCUAUACAAAUAGCAGUAGCGAUACAACACUUCUCUCAAUUGUUCUUUUCCUUUACCAAGCAUAUUGACAUUUUUUGAAGAAUUAUGUUUGACUUUCAGGUCUAUCUUUCUCAUUAGGUGCUUGAUUGUGAUUCCUUUAAUUUCAAUUUUACGUUAUUGGCAAAGGAAAAACUUCGACUAAAAGUGAAAAACAAAUAAGUGGUGCUCGUAUCAAGGUUUGUGAUGGCAAAGUUGAUUAAGAUCAAUGCAUUAUCAUAGUCACUUUCACUAAGUAAAGAAUGCAACAAAGAUGUAUCCAUUGCAUUGAUUAGCACUUUGCCUAUGUUCUCUCUUUUCACUUUCAAUUCAUCCUAUUGGCAAAAUUUCAUAUUCUUGGAAUCUUGGUGGAUUUGGUUGUUCCUGUUUGUUUAUACAGUGAAACAAAGAAACCAGCAGCAAAGAAAAAGGAGAAAUCAACAGAGCCAAAGGCUAAAAGGGAAAAGAAACUCAAAUGCUCCAAAACGCACUCCUACUGCUUUGUUUGUGUUCAUGGAUGAGUUUAGGCAAACAUUCAAGGCUGCUAAUCCUUACUGCAAGAGGGUCUCCACGGUAGUGCUGAAUUCAGUUGUUCCUAAUAACAAUCUCCGCUUGCCCCUUUAUCCCUUUAGUUUUAUCUAAUAGCCACAAAGUUGCUACUUCUCCAUCCUUAUUAUGUAGCCUUACAAUAGUAUUCGUUUCUCCUAAUGGUAAGCUCAUGUAUGUUGCAACGUAUUUUUAACAAUA